AAUAUAGAAACUAACAUCAAAUAUUAUUUUAAAUAAUAAAGUAUUUUAAAGGAGUUAUUAAGGAUAAUUAGCAAAUUUAUAAAUAAGGAGGCAUAGUCCAAAUGCCGUAUGUGUAUUAAUACUUCGGUAUAAGCAUUGUAACCAAUUGCGAUGUUAUUAAAUUAAUUAUUUGGAAUUAAAAAAUUGCAAGAUUAAUAAAAUUACACAAGUAAAGAAACGGCGUUCCUAAGGGAAACCUUUAUAUUAAUUACUUCCUGAAGUAAAUCAUUUCAGUAAGGAAAGGAAAGGAAAUCAACCGAGACUCUGAGAGUAAUGGCGAGUGAAAUCAGACCAGCCUAAAACCAAAGAAUGAAAUCCAAAGAAGGUAAAAACCAUAGUCCUGUAGUUCAACCAAAAAAUCAAGUAUGAUGAGAGUAAACUUGUCAGAAUAAAGGGGAACCAUCCUCUAAGGCUAAGUAUUAUAAAUUUAGCGAUAGUGAAUAGUACUGUAAAGGAACCAAAUGAAAAAGAUUAUAUAAUUAAUGAUGAAAUAAACUUUGAAUUAGUAACUCUAUAAGCAGUUGAAGUUGUGAAAACAAUGACAGCGUACCUUUUGCAUAAUGGGUCAGCAAGUUAAUAGAAAUAGCAAGGUUAAAAGCCUUAGCGAAAGCGACUAAACCAAUUUAGUGUAGUACCUAUAUAAUUAAAAUUGUAUAAUUACAAUAUUUUUAUUCUAUAAAAAGAUAAGAAGAGUAUUACCUUAUUCCUUAAUAGUUAAUAUUAUUAAUAAGUUAAAAUUUGCUAAAUAUUGGUGUUGGGUAAGUUAUUUUUAUUAGACCCGAAGCUAAGAUGAUCUUGCCAAGACCAGAUUUUAAGGAUCGAACGGGUGAAUGUUGCAGAAUUCUCCGAUGAGUUUUGGUAAGCGGUGAAAUGCCAAUCUGAUCUAGUGCUAGCUGGUAUUCUUCGAAACAUAUGUAAGUAUGACAUCUAUUAAGAUUUAUGGAGGUACAGCACGAAAUUCCAAACAAUUAAAGUAACUCUUACUAUUAUGCGUUUAGGUUGUGGGGAUCUAAUAAAUCUUACCAAUGGAAUUUAAACUCGGAAGUACAUAAAUUGUUGUUAGAUAUUCAGACUAUUCAUGAUAAGUUGAGUAGUCAAGACGAAAACAGUCGAGAACACAUAUUAAGGUCCCGAAUGAUUAUUAAGUGAAAUUAAGGAUGUUAUAUAUUGUAUGCAGCUGAAAAGUGAGCUUGGAAGUGACUACUUUUUAUGAACGUUGUAACAACGCAUCAGCUCUUUAGAUUGUAGCACCGAAAAUUUAACGGGUCUAAAUAAUCAACCGAUAUUGUGUUGGUUAUAAAUAAAAAAAGUAAAAAUUAUCUAUUUAUAAUCUAGGUAGAAGAACAUUCAGAAACGUAAGAUACGCAGUGUUUCAUUGCGAUUGACGAACUGAAGAGAGAAUGCUGACAUGAGUAACGUAAAAAGAAGAUAUAAUACUUCUCGCCGAAUACGAAAGGGUUGUAAGUAAGGUUUAAACCAACUUAUGUGAAAUGCGGGUCUCUAAGGCACCAACCAAAGUGAAAGCUGAUGAGAAAGUGAAACAAAGCCUAACUGGAUAGAUAAGGCCAAGAAAAUAAUCUCACUUAAGUCCCUUCGGGUUCAGCUGUAAAGCAUAAAAUUUUAUUGCUAAUCAGCUAGCUUAAAUUCUUUAAUUUGUUUUUUUGUAAAUCUUUAUUAACUUAGAAGUUUUCAAAAGUAAAAUUUAAGUGAAGCUUAACUACCGUACCCUAAACCGACACAGGUUCGUAAGUAGAGAAUACUAAGGCGUAGAGCUAAAAGUUGUAAAGGAACUCGGCAAGAUGUCCUCAAAAGCUAGGCGAUAAGAGGAACCAAUAAACAUAGAAUCAAUUAUUCUACCAAGUAUAUUUGACUUAUAAUUCUCAGAAAUCAACUAAAGUAAAUAAAAUUUGUCCCUUCGGGGCCAGGUAAAAUGAAAUAGAAAAAAUUUAAAGAAAUAAGAUUUUCCAAAGUUCUAAUGUUAAUUUGGUGUCACAAAAUAGGAGAUCUCGACUGUUUCCUAAAAACACAAGAAUGUGCAAUGAUGAAAGUCAUAGUAUACGUUCUGAAAUUUGCUCGAUGCCAUUAAUAUAAAAAAGGUAAUAGGUAACUGUUACUGAUUGAAAGUCUGGUUAAUAGCGGUCUUAACUAUGAGGAUCCUAAGGUAGCGAAAUAAAUUGGCAAAUAAUUUUUGUCCGGUAUCAAUAAUGUAACGAAGGUCUCACUGUCUCUACAACUUGCUCAGUGAAAUUGAAUUACGAGUGCAGAUGCUCGUUGCCUCCAGUGGGACGGGAAGACCCUAUGCAGCUUCUACUGUAUUUAGUUAAUACAAUGAUCUAGAACAAUUUUUAACAAUAGUGAUUAGGGAUGUCGAAGGACGUUAUAUUUAUUUUAACAAAGAUAAGUAUAAGUGGAAACCUCCAGAUAAAAAUUGGGUCCUUGUUUACCUUUGUUGUUAAAGAACACGUUUAAAAAUUAAGAUGUUUUGGUCGUCUAAUAAACUGUGCUCCGCAUGGUUGUAAUCCUUUAGGGUUAUUCUAAACGUGUAACUAAAACUUAUUAGGGAUAAUUGACUAAUUGGCAGUUUGACUGGGGCGGUCGUCUUUAAUAAAGUAGCAAAGUACACCCACAGAAUUAAAACAAAUCUAAAUAUAUUUAAAAAUAUAUCAAACUAACGACGGAAAUCGUGAUGGUAUUAAAUGAUUGAUUUUCUUUACAUUAAAGUAUUAAUAUUAUUUAAUAAAGGAUUUCCUUAUUUUUAACAAUUAACCAUUAAACAUAAUUUAUGUAUAAAAAUAUUUAAUAAGGUAUAGCUAGAAAUUGAAUGGAGAUCAAUCAACUAGUGUAAAAGUUGUGUAUAGUGUAAUGGCGGUAAGCAUACCUAACUGUAAGACCUAAAAGUCGAACAGAUACGUAAGUAGGGCAUAGUGACCCCUCGCUAUAAUAUGGAAUAGACGGGGAUCAUUUGAUAAAAGUUACGCUAGGGAUAACAGGCUGAUAGCCGGCGAGAGUACACAUUGUCCCGGCUGUUUGGCACCUCGAUGUCGAUUCAUCCUAUCCUCCGGGUGAAGAAUCUUGGAAGGGUUGGGCUGUUCGCCCAUUAAAAGGGUACGUGAAUUGGGUUUAAUACGACGUGAGUCAGUAUGGUCCCUAUCUUCUGGAGGUAUAAUUAGUAAAAAGGGGCAGACCUUCUAGUACGAAAGGAUCAAUAGGCUGUGUUUCCAUAGUGUACCAAUUGUUGAAAUCAAUUAUAACUGCAAAGCAGUCUCUUUGAUGUGGUAACUAAGAUACAACUGAAACGUAUCAUUAUAAUAACAAAACUAUAAUAGUUACCUAAAAAUAUAAUAUAUUUAAAGUAUGUUAUAUAUAAAUUUUGGCACAGUUGGGUAGCCACAAACAUGGUAGAUAAGUGCUGAAAGUAUCUCAAGCAAGAAUCUACCCCCUAGAUACUAACGAUUAUAAAUUGAAAUAAAUUUAACUAAUCAAUAAGAUAAGAAAUAGAACAUUUCUUAGAUAGGAUGCAAAUGAAAGUACUGAGAAGUAUUUAGUUUAGCAUUACUAAUUGGUCACAAGACUUUAUGUUAAGAUAUUCACA
rnacentral:rRNA from 1 species